rnacentral:rRNA from 1 species
AUGGCCGCCACUGACCCUUCCUACUACCAGAGUGGUGUUUGCCAAUCCAUCACACAGAAGCAGCAUCUCUUCCACUUAUACAUAAACCAGAUUGCCGAAGGAACCCCAAAUGCCAACCAAAAAGUCAUUGUGAAUCCAGGUCUUCCUAUGGAUUUUGGUGUAACCGUUGCAAAUGACUGGACCAUAAGCGAUGGUCCAGCCGCCAAUGCAAACCCUAUCGCACGUGCUCGUGGCAUGCACAUGGGUGAUGGUAAAGCCGACGUAAACUGGUUAUUCUGUCACAAUAUAUUGUUUACUGAUACCAGGUUUAAGGGGUCCAGCCUUAAGGUUCUUGGAGACUUUGUAGCCAACAAAGAUAGUGAAUGGGCAAUUGUAGGUGGAACUGGAGAAUUUGCAUAUGCACAAGGUGUUGUCGUCGCCAAAGUAAUCCAAAAUAUACAACCUACUCCCGGGCGUACUUGGGAGCUUCGUAUCAGUGCUUUCUGUCUGUGCAUCCCCAACGUGACCCCAGUGAACAAGAUGGGACCUUGGGGAGCAGACGGAGGGACAUCGUUUGACAUCACAGAGCUGCCUCGUUCUCUUCAAACCGUGACAAUUCGAUGUGGAGACGUGAUUAACUCAAUUGGGUUUUCGUACACUGAUCAAGCUGGUCAGAAGAAAAUUGCUGGACCGUGGGGUGGUGAUGGUGCACUUAGUGUGGCGAUCAAGCUUGCUCCUUCCGAGUUCAUAAAGCAAGUUCUUGGAACAACUGAUGCAGUUGGAGGAGUGACUGUUGUUACAUCACUUACUUUGGUCAGCAGCGUCACGACAUAUGGGCCUUUUGGAAAAGCAAAUGGCACUCCUUUUAGCAGCCAGGUUACAGAUAGUAACACUAUCGGGGGGUUCUAUGCGCGUGCUGGGGCGUCUGUUAAUUCACUUGGAGUCUAUGCGUGCCCAAUUUAG